rnacentral:rRNA from 1 species
GACGAACGCUGGCGGCGUGCUUAACACAUGCAAGUCGUACGGUAAGGCCCUUUCGGGGGUACACGAGUGGCGAACGGGUGAGUAACACGUGAGUAACCUGCCCACAACUUUGGGAUAACGCUAGGAAACUGGUGCUAAUACUGGAUAUGUGCUCCUGCUGCAGGGUGGGGGUUGGAAAGCUCCGGCGGUUGUGGAUGGACUCGCGGCCUAUCAGCUUGUUGGUGGGGUAGUGGCCUACCAAGGCGGCGACGGGUAGCCGGCCUGAGAGGGUGACCGGCCACAUUGGGACUGAGAGACGGCCCAGACUCCUACGGGAGGCAGCAGUGGGGAAUAUUGCACAAGGGGCGCAAGCCUGAUGCAGCAACGCCGCGUGCGGGAUGACGGCCUUCGGGUUGUAAACCGCUUUCAGCAGGGACGAAGCUUUUUGUGACGGUACCUGCAGAAGAAGCACCGGCUAACUACGUG